rnacentral:snoRNA from 15 species
ACGCUCUUCAAAAGCACUGGUUAUCGGACUCAGACUUGUCCAUGCCAGCCGUCAAAAUGAGCAAUAUGAAAUAUCCUGUUUUUGGGUGAGGUGUAACUGUAUUUAGAUUAGAUCUCAAUAACACGAUGACAGUU